AAAGAUUGUUGAGGAUAAUGGGGAAGUGUGUGAAUGCUCCUUUAAUGCAGAAAGAAGAAGAGACAGAUUACUGAGGAUAAUGGGGAGGUGUAGGAUAUUUUUGGAAUAAAAGAAAAUAAUGGGGAGGUGUAGAGUAUUUUUGGAAUAAAAGAAAAUAGUGAAGAGGUGCAAGAGCACUUGAGGUGGUGGAGGGAGCAACACCCUUUGUUAUUUUGUAGUUUUACUUGUUAGAUCGAGUUCUUAACACAACUCUUUCUACUUAAAAGUGUAAUAGUUAAAAGCCAUGAUUAGAUACAAUUGAUGUUACCCUCCACAAUCUCCCCUUGAAUUGUGACUCGGCCCACUUGGCCUUCACCACAAGAUAAUUGUAUAACUCAUAAUAAUCUCCCCUUAAAUAACUUCCAACUAGG
rnacentral:lncRNA from 1 species